GCCGGUGUGGCGGAAUGGCAGACGCGGCGCACUCAAAAUGCGCUGUCCGUGAGGGCGUGUGGGUUCGAGUCCCACCACCGGCACCA
rnacentral:tRNA from 2 species